UACAGAGGGGGCAAGCGUUGUUCGGAAUUACUGGGCGUAAAGGGCGCGUAGGCGGCCUGCUAAGUCGAACGUGAAAUCCCCGGGCUCAACCCGGGAACUGCGUCCGAUACUGGUAGGCUUGGAUCCGGGAGAGGGAUGCGGAAUUCCAGGUGUAGCGGUGAAAUGCGUAGAUAUCUGGAGGAACACCGGUGGCGAAGGCGGCAUCCUGGACCGGUAUUGACGCUGAGGCGCGAAAGCCAGGGGAGCAAACGGG
rnacentral:rRNA from 1 species